AUUGAACGCUGGCGGCAUGCCUUACACAUGCAAGUCGAACGGCAGCGGGCCUUUGGGUGCCGGCGAGUGGCGAACGGGUGAGUAAUGCAUCGGAACGUGCCAUUGAGUGGGGGAUAACGUAGCGAAAGUUGCGCUAAUACCGCAUAUUCUGUGAGCAGGAAAGCAGGGGACCGCAAGGCCUUGCGCUCUUUGAGCGGCCGAUGUCAGAUUAGCUAGUUGGUGAGGUAAAGGUUUACCAAGGCGACGAUCUGUAGCGGGUCUGAGAGGAUGAUCCGCCACACUGGAACUGAGACACGGUCCAGACUCCUACGGGAGGCAGCAGUGGGGAAUUUUGGACAAUGGGGGCAACCCUGAUCCAGCCAUGCCGCGUGAGUGAAGAAGGCCUUCGGGUUGUAAAGCUCUUUCGGCCGGGAAGAAAUCGCAUGGGUGAAUACCCUGUGUGGAUGACGGUACCGGAACAAGAAGCACCGGCUAACUACGUG
rnacentral:rRNA from 1 species